UUAUAGUUGGUGUAUGUUUGCAUAAAAAAUUUUGGAUUUUUUGGGGAUUAAUAUUUUAUUAUCACUAUAGC
rnacentral:tRNA from 1 species